AAAUUGAAGAGUUUGAUCAUGGCUCAGAUUGAACGCUGGCGGCAGGCCUAACACAUGCAAGUCGAACGGUAGCACAGAGAGCUUGCUCUCGGGUGACGAGUGGCGGACGGGUGAGUAAUGUCUGGGAAACUGCCCGAUGGAGGGGGAUAACUACUGGAAACGGUAGCUAAUACCGCAUAACGUCGCAAGACCAAAGUGGGGGACCUUCGGGCCUCACACCAUCGGAUGUGCCCAGAUGGGAUUAGCUAGUAGGUGGGGUAACGGCUCACCUAGGCGACGAUCCCUAGCUGGUCUGAGAGGAUGACCAGCCACACUGGAACUGAGACACGGUCCAGACUCCUACGGGAGGCAGCAGUGGGGAAUAUUGCACAAUGGGCGCAAGCCUGAUGCAGCCAUGCCGCGUGUAUGAAGAAGGCCUUCGGGUUGUAAAGUACUUUCAGCGAGGAGGAAGGCGUUGUGGUUAAUAACCACAGCGAUUGACGUUACUCGCAGAAGAAGCACCGGCUAACUCCGUGCCAGCAGCCGCGGUAAUACGGAGGGUGCAAGCGUUAAUCGGAAUUACUGGGCGUAAAGCGCACGCAGGCGGUUUGUUAAGUCAGAUGUGAAAUCCCCGGGCUCAACCUGGGAACUGCAUUUGAAACUGGCAAGCUUGAGUCUCGUAGAGGGGGGUAGAAUUCCAGGUGUAGCGGUGAAAUGCGUAGAGAUCUGGAGGAAUACCGGUGGCGAAGGCGGCCCCCUGGACAAAGACUGACGCUCAGGUGCGAAAGCGUGGGGAGCAAACAGGAUUAGAUACCCUGGUAGUCCACGCCGUAAACGAUGUCUACUUGGAGGUUGUGCCCUUGAGGCGUGGCUUCCGGAGCUAACGCGUUAAGUAGACCGCCUGGGGAGUACGGCCGCAAGGUUAAAACUCAAAUGAAUUGACGGGGGCCCGCACAAGCGGUGGAGCAUGUGGUUUAAUUCGAUGCAACGCGAAGAACCUUACCUGGUCUUGACAUCCACGGAAGUUUUCAGAGAUGAGAAUGUGCCUUCGGGAACCGUGAGACAGGUGCUGCAUGGCUGUCGUCAGCUCGUGUUGUGAAAUGUUGGGUUAAGUCCCGCAACGAGCGCAACCCUUAUCCUUUGUUGCCAGCGGUUAGGCCGGGAACUCAAAGGAGACUGCCAGUGA
rnacentral:rRNA from 1 species